CUGCAGAAUUCGCCCUUGUCCCAGCCGCCGCGGUAAUACGUAGGGUGCGAGCGUUAAUCGGAAUUACUAGGCGUAAAGCGUGCGCAGGCGGAUUGUUAAGCAAGACGUGAAAUCCCCGGGUUUAACCUGGGGAUGGCGUUUUGAACUGGCAGUCUAGAGUGCGUCAGAGGGGGGUGGAAUUCCACGUGUAGCAGUGAAAUGCGUAGAGAUGUGGAGGAACACCGAUGGCGAAGGCAGCCCCCUGGGAUGAAACUGACGCUCAUGUACGAAAGCGUGGGUAGCAAACAGGAUUAGAUACCCUGGUAGUCCACGCCCUAAACGAUGUCAACUGGUUGUUGGGGGAGUGAAAUCCCUUAGUAACGAAGCUAACGCGUGAAGUUGACCGCCUGGGGAGUACGGUCGCAAGAUUAAAACUCAAAGGAAUUGACGGGGACCCGCACAAGCGGUGGAUGAUGUGGAUUAAUUCGAUGCAACGCGAAAAACCUUACCUACCCUUGACAUGUCCGGAAUCCUGCAGAGAUGCGGGAGUGCCCGAAAGGGAAUCGGAACACAGGUGCUGCAUGGCUGUCGUCAGCUCGUGUCGUGAGAUGUUGGGUUAAGUCCCGCAACGAGCGCAACCCUUAUCAUUAGUUGCUACGCAAGGGCACUC
rnacentral:rRNA from 1 species